rnacentral:tRNA from 1 species
GGGCCGGUAGCUCAGGGGAAGAGCGCCCGCUAACAGGCAGGGCGCCUGUCGGGAAUUGCAAGCGGGAGUCCCCGAUAAAACCGGGGCCCAAAGUCGCGGGUUCAAAUCCCGCCCGGUCCA